rnacentral:rRNA from 1 species
UACGGAGGGUGCGAGCGUUGUCCGGAAUCACUGGGCGUAAAGGGCGCGUAGGUGGCUCGUGAAGCGUGCGGUGAAAGUCCGAGGCUCAACCUCGGAUCGGCCGUGCGGACUCGCGGGCUCGAGCGUUGUAGAGGCGGGUGGAAUUCCGGGUGUAGCGGUGGAAUGCGUAGAGAUCCGGAAGAACACCGGUGGCGAAGGCGACUCGCUGGACAAGUAUUGACGCUGAGGUGCGAAAGCGUGGGGAGCAAACAGG